AAAACAUUCGGACUGUCGGUCUACCGAGCAAUAUCACUCGCUCGGUGGUGAUAAGAUCUCUUUGUCGU
rnacentral:pre_miRNA from 1 species